UACAGAGGUCCCAAGCGUUGUUCGGAUUCACUGGGCGUAAAGGGUGCGUAGGUGGUUGGGCAAGUUUGAUGUGAAAGCUCGGAGCUUAACUCCGAAAUGGCAUUGAAUACUUCUUAACUUGAGGGUCGGAGGGGAGACUGGAAUUCUCGGUGUAGCAGUGAAAUGCGUAGAUAUCGAGAGGAACACCAGUGGCGAAGGCGAGUCUCUGGACGACUCCUGACACUGAGGCACGAAAGCUAGGGGAGCAAACAGG
rnacentral:rRNA from 1 species